UGGGGAAUAUUGGACAAUGGGGGGAACCCUGAUCCAGCCAUGCCGCGUGUGUGAAGAAGGCCUUAUGGUUGUAAAGCACUUUAAGCGAGGAGGAGGGUACUGGUAUUAAUACUACCAGGUACUGGACGUUACUCGCAGAAUAAGCACCGGCUAACUCUGUGCCAGCAGCCGCGGUAAUACAGAGGGUGCGUGCGUUAAUCGGAAUUACUGGGCGUAAAGCGCGCGUAGGUGGUUCGUUAAGUUGAAUGUGAAAGCCCCGGGCUCAACCUGGGAACUGCAUCCAAAACUGGCGAGCUAGAGUAGGGCAGAGGGUGGUGGAAUUUCCUGUGUAGCGGUGAAAUGCGUAGAUAUAGGAAGGAACACCAGUGGCGAAGGCGACCACCUGGGCUCAUACUGACACUGAGGUGCGAAAGCGUGGGGAGCAAACAGG
rnacentral:rRNA from 1 species